ACGCUUUGGCAACAAUAAGGUUUAAACGAUGACUGGAGUAAUGAACAUGCAACGCCUUCGGGUUUUUCUCUAAUAUUCUCCCAGAAAUACCUUUUUCCUGGCUGGACACAGCACUAGCACCGUCAUAUCCCUGGCCUCGACAAUUUUGAACGGAAGCCCGACAUCUUGAAGUGUACUUUGACUAAUGAACGGAAUCAAAUCCAAAGGCGAAACAGUUCGGUAUACAAAUGAAAAUGUUCUUGAAUCAUGUAAAACUUCAAAUUUAUUCAAGAAUGUAUUAAAUUAUCCAGAAAGUAUAAGCUUGGAGUUAUCAUUAAAAAGUGCCUUGCACCAGAUAUUUUCAAUAAUUAGCUAUCGAGACCAUCCUCAGUUGU